AGGUGCGAUCAUACCAGCACUAAUGCACCGGAGCCCAUCAGAACUCAGCAAUUAAGCGUGCUUGGGCGAGAGUAGUACAAGGAUGGGUGUCCUCCUAGGAAGUCCUUGUGUUGCACCUCU
rnacentral:rRNA from 1 species